ACCGGCGCACGGGUGCGUAACGCGUAUACAAUCUACCUUUUACAGAGAGAUACCCCAGAGAAAUUUGGAAUAAUACCUCAUAAUAUUAUUGCUCGGCAUCGAGUGACAAUUAAAGUUUCGGCGGUAAGAGAUGAGUAUGCGUCCUAUUAGCUAGUUGGUAAGGUAACGGCUUACCAAGGCUACGAUAGGUAGGGGUCCUGAGAGGGAGAUCCCCCACACUGGUACUGAGACACGGACCAGACUCCUACGGGAGGCAGCAGUGAGGAAUAUUGGUCAAUGGGCGAAAGCCUGAACCAGCCAUGCCGCGUGCAGGAAGACUGCCCUAUGGGUUGUAAACUGCUUUUAUACAGGAAGAAACACUCGGACGUGUCCGAGCUUGACGGUACUGUAUGAAUAAGCACCGGCUAACUCCGUGCCAGCAGCCGCGGUAAUACGGAGGGUGCAAGCGUUAUCCGGAAUCAUUGGGUUUAAAGGGUCCGUAGGCGGAUUAAUAAGUCAGGGGUGAAAUCCCACAGCUUAACUGUGGAACUGCCUUUGAUACUGUUAGUCUUGAGUUAUAUGGAAGUAGAUAGAAUGUGUAGUGUAGCGGUGAAAUGCAUAGAUAUUACACAGAAUACCGAUUGCGAAGGCAGUCUACUACGUAUAUACUGACGCUAAUGGACGAAAGCGUGGG
rnacentral:rRNA from 1 species